ensembl:lncRNA
ACCCAGAUUAUUUCUAUUUCCAAGUGGGUGGGAUUUUUAAGCUCACUUCCCACCAGCCACAAUUGUGCAUGUCUCCAGAUCUCUUCGGGGUGAGAAAGAAUGGGGUGGGGUGGGGGGAGGGGGAGGCUAAUUUAACGUUCUGGUUUGGAUUUUCAUCUUAAAACUUCAUUUAUUUUCAAGGUGUCCGCCACUCCGGGCCCAUGCCAAGAAGUGCGUAUAAAUGGCGAAAGACCAAAGGGAGAGGAGAAGGAGAGAGAGAGAGAGAGGAUGGUUUCGAAUUUAUUUAUAUUGGAAAUGUAUAAACAUCCAUUCUGUAAAAGGCAACACGUUUAAUUAACGAUGAGAGAGCAGUUAGGGGCAGAAAGCUAGUAAAAUUGUGUGAUAAAUUUAUGGCAUUGUUAGCGUGCUUUUAAUUAUGGCUAUUAUGUUAAUUAUUUCACAUUAGCAUGGAGUUAUCAGCAGCAUGUCAGAUUUAAUCAAAACGAGCCUUUCUCUCGAAAAUUGUUCUUUUCAUCCGCGAGGAGAAAGGUCCUGGGCAGGAUCGGGGCUUAGAAAUGACUUGGCAUUGAAAGCUCCAGUGUCUCCGACACGGUUUGGAGCGAUGCGGCCGGGCCCGGCUGACGGCUGGGUCCCUCCAGGCUACGGAGGCAGCUUGCGGAGGAGCCCAGGGCUGGGUUUUUAGGAAUUCACCAUUUUCACCCCCUUCGGAGCCGACACUUCAUCAUACGGGAUCAUUCUGUCAAACAAUAUGAUGCUGCUCGUUUUUAUCUGUCCCACUUUACAAAACCCCCAUUCAGCCCGCCGUGGAGCAACAAAAGCCUCGGAGCCGCGCUGCGGCCGCCGGCGGCCCCCGGCGGCCCCCAGCGGCCCCCGCCCGCCCCGCGCGCCAGACCGCNGACCCGCCUCUCCCAGGCCCGCGCCCGCCCCGGGCGCAGGGCGGAAACACCUUUGUCUCCCCGCGAGCGACUCGCCCACCCAGGCCCUAUCGAUUUUUUUUUAAUCACUGCCGAUCGAUUUAUUGGGAGCGAAUAAACAGCCCGUGUUGGAAACGUUUCAAUCGUUGCCUGGAGGGUCGGGGCGCUGACGCCGGCGGGCGCGCAGGGCCGAGGGGCGCGCGCCGCCAGGGGCUUGUGGGAAAGCGCCGCUCGCCGCGGGGGUCGCGCGUGUCUGCGCGCGCGAGGCCGCCCCCCUCAGGUGCCCCUGCGGCUGCGUCCCGGGCGAGGAGGGUCCGGCUUCCGCCUCUCGCACUCAGCUCCCUCUGGCGGCGGGGCGGGCGUGAGCUCAGCGCCAGCCUUUCCACCUUGUCACGUCCAGUUUGUGGUCAUUGUGGUUUUAAGUGCAAUAGAAUUCACCUGGAGAGUUUUGCUGUUUUUAAACUUCCUGAAAUAGGAAAGAGAAUAAGGUCAGGCAAUUACCACAGUUAUCCUAUUUACUUAUUUAAGGAUGUGGCAAGAAGAGCUUCCAAAAAAUGGACUGAUAAAUGUGAGUAGAGGGGAAAAAUCAAUUUCUUUUUUUUUUAAAGGAUAGAUCCGGAACUGUAAUGAUGGAAAGAAUUCUAAGAUUCAGUUAUAGAAUAUCUCUUGAACAGGUCAGGACAAAUCGCUUGACGUAUUGGAGUAUGUCUGUGCAGUCAAGAGUGAUAGAAUAUUUGAAAUGAAACAGUACUUAAGAAUUUGAUCAAAUCCACUGGUCUUCAAACUUUGUAAAGGCUUGAGUUCCUUUAUUUAAACAAAAUCUCAUAUACUUAAUAUGUAAAACAGGUUUAGAGGGAACUAUUCUCCUUGAAGCUGAAGAGGUUGCACCUGUUCAUAUGCUUCCCCUUCUUUCCUUCUGAGCUUUGAAAAUCAG